CCUGAUUUUUUGCUAGAAGCAGCUUGUGCAUAGUUUUACCAGCACCAAGUAGAAGUCAAAAGACAUGUUAGCAUCCUGGUUCUGCCACUUACUAGGUAUGGGACCUUGGGAAAAAUUAUUUAUUGUCAUUGACCUUGUUCAUAAAAAUGGUACUAAGGUAUGUGUAAUAAACAGAAGUAGUAGGAAAUGUAAAAGCAUAUGUAAUCUGGAAAAUAUGUUUACACAUUCGAGACAAAAUGAUCACAGCAGUAUUCAGUAUUCUGUGACUUAGUAAAUCUCGAGGAAAAUUUUUGUAAACCUGAAGGAUGAUAAAAUGGCAGUAGCAUCAAGAAAAGAAUGGAAAAGUAGGAAAUGGCACGUGGAUUUUAAAUUUGGGGUAGGGGUGUGUUCAGUUUCAGCAGGCUACUACGAAUGAAGAUGUCCUGUAGGAACACAGGGUUUGGCACAUGAGACUUUCUGAUGAAAUUUUAAGUGAUUUGACCUAGAAUUUAUUUUGGUUAUAGAUCAUAAACUCUGCUAGUCAGUGAGAUGCUGAAUAUACAAGAUGAGAUCUUAUGCUAUAGCAGUAAGAACAGAAAAAGAGCAAAUACUUCUCACUAUAAAUGCUUUCCAUAAAGAAAACAGAAAAUGUUAGAAGAUAACAAAGUUUGUAGUUAGGAUGCGAAUGGGAGUAGGACUGGAAAUCUGUGGUCAGAGAACAGCCCUCUGAGAUCAGAUUUAAGCUGCCAACUAAAGGAUGAGAAAGAGCCAGCCAUGUGAAAGUCUAAGAGGAGGAAAUUCUGAAUGGAGAGAACAAAAGAUCCUAUCCAUCAGUUUGCUCUUAACUCCCUGGAAUGGGCAGAAAGCCAUCAUCAAAAUUAUUUUUUAUAAUUACACUAUGUACAGCAAAUGUGAAAUAGAAUCCUGGCACAUUUUAGAUACUUCCUAAAUAAAUGUUUUUUUUUCUUCCUUUUAAAGAAAGCUUGCUACACUUUUGAAGUUUGUUCUUUCUCUCUCUCUUUUUCUUUUCUUUCUCAUCCUUUUCUUUCCUUUUCUCUUUUCUUUCUUGACAGGGUCUCACUUUGUUGCCUAUGCUAAAGUGCAGUAGCGCAAUUUCAGCUCACUGCAGCCUUGACUUUACAGGGUAAUGUAAUCCUUCCAUUUCAGUCUUCUGAGUAUCUGGGAUUACAGGCAUGGACCACCAUGCAAAGCUAAUUUAUGUGUCUUUUGUACAGAUGGGGUUUGACCAUUUUUCCCAGGCUGGUUUUAAACUCCAGGGCUCAAGCAAUACAACCACCUUGGCCUCUCAAAGUCUUAAGAUUAAAGCUGUGGUUCACUGCCCCUGGCCUGAUGGAUGCCUCGAAUCACCAUGGCACGUGUAUACCUAGUAUGUCCCUGAGAAAGUGUUGGAGUCUUUACCUAGACCUUCCAAUGGAAAAAAAACACAGAGUAUAGUCCAUGUAAAAGGAGAAGGUAAGAAUACUAUUUUUUUUUUAAAAGGAAUUUGAUGGAAUUU